rnacentral:rRNA from 1 species
GACGAACGCUGGCGGCGUGCUUAACACAUGCAAGUCGAACGGAGUGGCGAACGGGUGAGUAACACGUGGGUGAUCUGCCUUGCACUUCGGGAUAAGCUUGGGAAACUGGGUCUAAUACCGGAUAGUGCAAGAUGAGCUCGCGGCCUCUCAGCUUGUUGGUGGGGUAAUGGCCUACCAAGGCGUCGACGGGUAGCCUGCCUGAGAGGGUGUACGGGCACAUUGGGACUGACAUACGGCCCAGAGUCCUACGGGAGGCAGCGGUGGGGGAUAUUGCACAAUGGGCGGAAGCCUGAUGCAGCGACGCCGCGUGGGGGAUGGUGGCCUUCGGGUUGUAUGCUCCUUUGGACACGAACGCGGUACCUGUAUAAGAAGCACCGGCUAACUACGUGCCAGCAGCCGCGGUAAUAC